rnacentral:rRNA from 1 species
CGUAAGCGCCGGCUAACUACGUGCCAGCAGCCGCGGUAAUACGUAGGGCGCAAGCGUAUCGGAAUUAUUGGGCGUAAAGAGCUCGUAGGCGGUCUGUCGCGUCUGCUGUGAAAACCGAGGCUCAACCUCGGGCCUGCAGUGGGCACGGGCAGACUAGAGUGCGGUAGGGGAGAUUGGAAUUCCUGGUGUAGCGGUGGAAUGCGCAGAUAUCAGGAGGAACACCGAUGGCGAAGGCAGAUCUCUGGGCCGUAACUGACGCUGAGGAGCGAAAGGGUGGGGAGCAAACAGGCUUAGAUACCCUGGUAGUCCACCCCGUAAACGUUGGGAACUAGUUGUGGGGUCCAUUCCACGGAUUCCGUGACGCAGCUAACGCAUUAAGUUCCCCGCCUGGGGAGUACGGCCGCAAGGCUAAAACUCAAAGGAAUUGACGGGGACCCGCACAAGCGGCGGAGCAUGCGGAUUAAUUCGAUGCGACGCGAAGAACCUUACCAAGGCUUGACAUAUACGAGAACGGGCCAGAAAUGGUCAACUCUUUGGACACUCGUAAACAGGUGGUGCAUGGUUGUCGUCAGCUCGUGUCGUGAGAUGUUGGGUUAAGUCCCGCAACGAGCGCAACCCUCGUUCUAUGUUGCCAGCACGUAAUGGUGGGAACUCAUGGGAUACUGCCGGGGUCAACUCGGAGGAAGGUGGGGAUGACGUCAAAUCAUCAUGCCCCUUAUGUCUUGGGCUUCACGCAUGCUACAAUGGCCGGUACAAAGGGCUGCAAUACCGCGAGGUGGAGCGAAUCCCAAAAAGCCGGUCCCAGUUCGGAUUGAGGUCUGCAACUCGACCUCAUGAAGUCGGAGUCGCUAGUAAUCGCAGAUCAGCAACGCUGCGGUGAAUACGUUCCCGGGUCUUGUACACACCGCCCGUCAAGUCAUGAAAGUCGGUAACACCUGAAGCCGGUGGCCCAACCCUUGUGGAG